rnacentral:tRNA from 1 species
GCGGAUAUGGCGAAAUUGGUAGACGUACUAGUUUUAGGCACUAGCGAAGAGAUUCAUGGGGGUUCGAGUCCCUCUAUCCGCA